AGUGGGGAAUCUUCCGCAAUGGACGAAAGUCUGACGGAGCAACGCCGCGUGAGUGAUGAAGGCCUUCGGGUCGUAAAGUUCUGUCCUUAGGGAAGAACACUUUAGUUGCUAAUACCAGCUAGAGCUGACGGUACCUUUGGAGGAAGCCCUGGCUAACUACGUGCCAGCAGCCGCGGUAAUACGUAGAGGGCUAGCGUUGUCCGGAAUCAUUGGGUGUAAAGGGUACGCAGGCGGUUUGGUAAGUCAAAUGUGAAAUCCAUCGGCUCAACCGAUGAAUGGCAUUUGAUACUGCUAAACUUGAGGAUAAGAGAAGAAAACGGAAUUCCUAGUGUAGUGGUGAAAUACGUAGAUAUUAGGAAGAAUACCAAUGGCGAAAGCAGUUUUCUAACUUACUCCUGACGCUCAGGUACGAAAGCUAGGGUAGCAAACGGGAUUAGAUACCCCGGUAGUCCUAGCCGUAAACGCUGGAUACUAGGUGUCGGAGGUUCGACUCCUUCGGUGCCGGAGUUAACGCAUUAAGUAUCCCACCUGGGGAUUACGACCGCAAGGU
rnacentral:rRNA from 1 species